CUCGUUUCUUCUCUUCCCCAUUUCCGUUUCUCUCUCCCCCUCCCCCCAACUUCUCUAUUCUUCAUUCCUUCUCUUCCCCAUUUCCGUUUUCUUCCUUCUCUUCCUCCAUUGGUUCCAUUUUCUUUCCUUCUAUUGUUCGUGCUGUGGAGGACUGUGUAGGAGUUUGGUGCUUGGUUGGUACUUCGUUCGCGGUUGAUUUUCUACUAUCCAGUUAAUGUGUAAGGACACACUUUUUUUUAAAAGAGAAGUGGUUGGGGAGAGGCUUCACGUCCGGCAACAGCAGUUGGAUGGUGAGUCAUUCCACCUUGAACUGCUCCAGUCACCAGGAAUCAUCAUGUUCAUCAUUUUCAUAUGGGCAUGGCACUGAGGAGGGAAGGGAAUGUGACCUUUUUAGACUUCUUGAAGACUUCCUUUAUAGACCUUGAAUCAACUUUCACAAGACUUGCAGCACCUUGGCCUCUUUGCAAUUCCAGAAGCUCUCAACUUCACCUCUCUCACGGAUUUUUUUGCAGCAAGGAUUUCACUCCCCACAGUUUCAGAACCCAAUCCCCUUUUGAAUCAAUGGGCUCUUCCCUUUAAGAGAAAGGAAAUUUGUGCACUCCACUGGAUGGUGCUAGCUGGACGGUUCUCAGUCAUUCCCUUCCCUCUUCAGUGCCAUGCCCACUAUGAAGAUGAUGAUGAUUCCUGGUGGCUGGAGCACUUCAAGGUGGAAUGACUCACCAUCCACCAGCUGCUGUUGCUGGACAUGAAGCCCCUCCCCCACCACUUCUUUUUUAAAAAAAACGUGCGGUCCUUACAGGUGACAUAAUCAUGAACAGGAGAAAAUACAGAUGGUUAUUCUGAGAGAAAUUUGGGGCAACAGCGGGCUAAAUCCUCUAUCAGCUUUACCUUACCUCUCUGUACUGUCUCUGGGCUUUGCCAUGAUCUUUUAAUUCCAGUUACCAACUUUCAUAAUGAAGACAAGGGCUAUAUGGUUUUACCUGGAGAUGUUUUUUGAUUUGCCUAUUCGGAAGGAAAUCGUGUCGUUAGGUGGAAGCUUGCAAAAUGACAACAGUUCAGGGGUGGUGCCACCAUGCAUGGCCCACGGUCUCGAAGUCAUCCUUUCAAAGUCAAUAAGAAGGUUCGGCGUCUAGGGUUAAAGAUUCUCGUGCAAUAGAAGGAAGAGAGCUUCUUCCUGCACCUCAUCCAUCUCAGCCUACACCUCCAAAUUUUAUGAUUUUUCCAUCUGUGCCUUUGUCAAAAAGAAUCUUUGAUUGCAUUUUCUUUUUAAUUGACUCAUUCCAACAAAACCCUACACCACCCACCCCCUCCUCUCUCAAAUUGCGUAACCAAACCUUACGCCACCCUUGUCUCCUCUCUUCUCGCAAUCUCAUAUCGCGUCUUGCCUCCUCCCCUCCUCCCUCAUUUGCCUUCUCAAUUUGCCGUUCAUCCUCACAAUUCUCUUCUCGUCAUUGUCCUUUGGCGACUGUCGUGGUGGUGGUGAGAGCCUUUCCUUGGAGAGCUUCUCCUUGCACCUCAUAUUGACUUCUGGAAGAUUUCGUUUUUAAAAAUUAAGUUUAUUUUUAAUUAUACUACUUGUAUGACUAUUUUUUUUUCAAUGUACGUUUCAUUGAAAAUUAACUAUCACUAUACCUAAAAAUUUGGUUGUGGUGUUGUAUUUGCUGCAAUGAAAACCCUCCAACAAAAUCAGAA